CCCUCAGGCUCCCUGAGUCAGCAGCCCCCCUCACCCACACUGAAUUCAAAACCAGGAUUGAUCUUCACAGAGAAGUCUCUGGUGCAGUGCAAAAAGCUACAAGAUACGAACCAUGGCACUCCUGUUCAAGCAAAAUUUGAUGGUUUUCCUAAAGAUGUGCCAUCUCUCUGCCUCUGCCCUUUGUUCUCCUCUAUUUCCCUUCAAAUGAUGAAGACCCAUUCUGUCUACCUCCAAGCUUUUUCAUAUCAACCGUCCUAUUUAUACCCUUGAGUCAAUUGGAAUGGAAGAAAGGGUGGAGGUUAUUUUUUUCCACCUGUUCCAGGAACAUGUGUUCGAAGAAUGAAUUUUUCCCCUCAUUAAAUCACUUUGGCAAUUUUCCAGGAAUUCUUAUUUUAAUAUCAACUAAGGAAGUGCAUGGUUUCUAUCUGAAGGGUGGUACUUACUUUGCUGCAUAUGUAUUGGCAUGAAAUUGCCUACAGAGGGAUCACAGCUUGGGGCAAGCUUUGUGGAGGAUGAAGGUGAGUAAGAAUUUCCCUUUGCUAAACUGUAUUUCUUUCUAGUGAAGUUCCCAUCUCAAAAUGUGUCCUGACCAGCUGGGCAAGUCAAGCGAAA